GUAGGUGGCAAGCGUUGUCCGGAAUUAUUGGGCGUAAAGCGCGCGCAGGCGGUUCUUUAAGUCUGAUGUGAAAGCCCACGGCUCAACCGUGGAGGGUCAUUGGAAACUGGAGAACUUGAGUACAGAAGAGGAAAGCGGAAUUCCACGUGUAGCGGUGAAAUGCGUAGAGAUGUGGAGGAGCACCAGUGGCGAAGGCGGCUUUCUGGUCUGUAACUGACGCUGAGGCGCGAAAGCGUGGGGAGCAAACAGGGAUUAGAUACCCUGGUAGUCCACGCCGUAAACGAUGAGUGCUAAGUGUUAGGGGGUUUCCGCCCCCUUAGUGCUGCAGCUAACGCAUUAAGCACUCCGCCUGGGGAGUACGGCCGCAAGGCUG
rnacentral:rRNA from 1 species